GACUCCUACACAUUAUCUCAUCAUGUGGAUCCUCUUUGAUAUAGCUUCUUUUAUCUGGGUGAUCGUUGUCUUCGUCAUUCAAAUCACAAAGAAUAGGCGACAGAAACGGCGUUUGAGACGGCAUGUUUCUGAUGGGUCCUCGUAUAACUACCAAUUUGUUGCUAUGUCUGAUAAACCAGCGGACAUGUAUGCCUCGUAAAAGGUUCAUCGGUCCACCUGUAUGGCUUAACAGGGUUCGGCCGACGUUUUUUUUUUAUACAUUGGGAAGUCGAUACCAGAAGAACCGAAGGGUUUGUCGAUUCAACCGACCAUCACCAAUUUCAUCCUUCAGUCAUUCGCCACACGGUCCCUAAAUAAUUAUAAACGGAAAUGUUACGAAUACAAUACGAAUCGUUGCUAGGCCCUUGAACAAUCUCGUUGCAUGCCUCACUGUCCCAGUCAGCACACCGAAUAUUAUCCAGUCCCCGAUCCUGGAGCAGCAUGGAUUGUAAAGAGGAUGGAAAUAUUGUUGUUCAUCUUUCGGUAAUAGAGUAUUACAGAGAGGCGGAUCUCACCAUAUUACAUUAUUCACUACGUCUGGUUAGCAAACUGGAUACGGUUUGGGAUCCCGUUACCAAGACCGGGUUUCGUGUGACAAAGCCUAUAUACCACCGCUUACGGAUCUGCUGCGAAGCCGGGUAAAUCUAUAAGCGGUGUCGCGGUGAUAAUACGACGUUUAGAGAUGACCCUACGACUAAGCCGAUGUUUCUCCGAUUAUAAAGGAAUCAUAUUUUCUGAGGAAUGUUUCUUUUUUUAUUAUUUUUUUUUGGGGGGGUGGCAUUGCGACGCCUGGGUGAUAGCUUUACGAUUAUCUUCUAGCUCGUCGAUAAAUAAUACAGUUUAUAAGGUAUGAAAAUUAUGCAAACAUUAUUGUUGUUUUUAUAUAUUAAUAUCCAUCUACCACCAUCAUCCUGAGGUGAUUUGUGAACAAAUUACAAAAUAAAUGUAAUAACUCAACACACCCUUCGGCAUUAAUUAUAGUGUGUCUUUAUACAUUAUUUUUAUUCUGACCAGCAUCACUUUCCAUAUCCAGACUGUGAUCCAUUUUCUUGAUUUAAGUUAAUGUUUCUUUGAUCAACGUUACUUAAAUAAAUGUUUUUUUACGCCCUUAUCCCCUUUAUAAGAUGUGCUAUAUGCGGCGGGGGGGGGGGGGGUCAGAUAAUCCAUAUAAACGAUAAUUGUUUAUACGAUGAUAGUUUGAUAUGCUGUUUUUUAUCAAUAUUUCAUCAAGGGACAUUUUUGGGGACGCGCUGUAUUAUGUCAGGUUGUUCAAUGUUUUUUAAAGAUGUAUGCAAUGUUACUUUAUACGAUGUUUCUUUAUACGAUCUUUUUUAGAGAUGUUUCUGACAUUGCUCCGUAUUGCUAAUCCGAUUUUCUUUUCUUUUCUUUCCUUUCAUUAUUUUUGUAAUUUCAGUACUCUCAAUUCUGAGAGCAUCUCCUAGUAUAAUAUACACAAUUAUUAUUUAAAAGCAGCUCUCCUUCUCCCCAUAAUCUGAUGAAUCUAAAAGAUUAUCUACGAAAUGUAAAAUUCUUAAAUUGUUUUAUAUCUAUUUCCAUCGAUUGAAUUCUUUCUAGAGAAUGUUUUUAUUUUCAUGCAGGUUAUUUGAUGAAGGCCUUGGAUUUGGAAUAUCUAAACAAUAUUUCCAGUUCACUGAUCAUGUGCCGACCUUUUUAAAGAUUUUGUAUGUAAUAUUCGUAUCACCUUUUUAACUAGUCUUGGCAGUACGAUUUUCAUUCAAUCAUCAACAAAAGUAACAAAGUACAUCCGUAACUAUAUAACUAAAUGAAAACAGACAUGCAUUUUAAUAAACAGGACAUGUUUAAGUACAUUUAAUGUAUUUUCUUACUAAAAUGAUUAUGAAAGUAUUUCACCGUUAUAAAAAUCACGGGAGGCUAUCUAUAUAUUUUAAUGUUUCAUUGGUUCAUAUACAUUACUUUUGGAGGAGAGGAUUUUAACAAAAUAUUAAUGUUAUAUAUUUGUUUUAAUACUGUGACGCAAUGAUACGUCCUCGAUGUUAUUUUAUAUAUAUUAUGUACAUAUAUAUUUUGAAUCUAUUGUUUGUGCCGGGGAGUAUCUUACGUAAUAGGAACAAUUUACUUCAAGAUCCCUCCUUACAAUACAAAUGUCUUUUAUUGUCAAUAUUUUCAUCGUAAUGUCAGUGGCAAUUGUUAUGAUUAUUUCAUGAAUGAUGUAAUUUGAAGUGAUGUAUACAUGGUAUACGUGAUUCUUAUCCAUGCAAAGUCCUUCCUAACCUGACUGAUAUUUGCUAUUUGGAUAUAUGUAAGAUUCAUGCAUUUCUUGUGAAUAUUUCUGUACGAUAGUAUGCUAUUGUGUAAAUAUACUACAAUUCAUGUGCGAUGAUUGGGGAAGGGGAAAGUGCCCCCUCCCGCGAAUUUUCGAAUUUGUAGAGCAGCCUAUUAAAGAGCGGGUCGUCUCGUCUCUCUAAAGUGACAAGAAAUCUCAAUCUGCGCCUGCUCCUGUUUCAUUCCUUCUGUGGUUAUUGUGAUUUAUAAAAUAGGUGUAUUAUUUCAAGCAUCGCGAUUGGCCAAUACGCGUCGCAUGACAUCCAACUUUUUUGGUGCACUGCACGGCAGUGCAAAAGGUGCGCAACGAUAAUUUAUAUUGCACGCUCAAGCAAACCAGUGCGGUAGAAGUCCCGGGAGAAGUCCAACAAAACUGUACUGUAACUUUUCAAGAAUUUGUUUUUGUGUUGCUAUUUUAUAAAACAAAUAAUGCACUUGCUCUGUCGUGCGUAAAAGUAAAUGCAGAGAAAGCUCGGUUUCUUCAGAUGGUGCACACUGGGCACUCGCCGCCAGCGGCUCGUGCACAGUGCGGCACCUAUCUGAAGAAACCUCGCGUGCUCUGCAUUUCCACUAACGCACUCGGCUGCAUGCAUUAUUUGUAUAAUAUUGUUUUUAAUAUUCGUGUAAUCUUGUCUUUGUUAAGAUAGCGGUGUUGAUGGAGAUUGAUGCGAAAUGUCUGUUUCAGAUACAGUUUUAAGGACACCAAAGUAAUCCUUCAGACGGUGCUAAAUCACACACUUAUAUGUAUAUAUCACAUUUUUGGAAGAAAAUGUAUGCUUUAAUUGUUUUGUAAAAUGAUUUAAAAAAAAUCAUAAACAUGACAAUGGACAUUUGUUUAAAGGUUUGUGAAGGAUUGUAACGAUCCGCAUCACAUAAUAUUUUCGUGGCUGCAUGCAAAUAAUAGGACUUUUUUCCUAGCAGAUGUCAUUUGAUAAAAUAAUUUAAUUAUGUAUACAUAUUAUAUUAUUGCCAGUAGAUUAAGAUGUGGAUCGGUGUGGAUAAAGGGAUAUUCUUGCUUAUGUAGUGGAUGAGUUUGGUAGGAAUUUAAACAAAAUGUCUUCCUUUCAAGUCUUUCAUUUACUUUUUUUGUAAAUAAAAUUAUCUACGUAUUGAAAACUGUA